CUUCUUUUUAAAUAUGUUGUGUACAGACUUAUUUACUUGUCUGUCUACUUUUCUUACUCCAUGUAGUUUUCCCAAAGACUAUGGGUUGAGGAGGAAGUGGAAGCAGCUCUGAGGAGAGAGGGGUUUGCUGCAAAUGAUGAGUGGGUGCUCUGCAGAGAUCAUUUUAAACCUGAUGAGUUUGACAGGACUGGGCAGGUUUUUUGGCUGAGACCUGGUGUCACUCCAUCAGUGUUUAACUUCCUGGCUCAUCUUGGAAGAGGAUGUGACAGAAAGACCACGACCAAGCAGGCUGGAGAUCUUAGGCAGCGUCUCCCUCAGUUCAAAGGUCCCUCUCUAUCUCCCCACACAUCCACCAACCACUGGAACACAUCUCCAAAGUUCUGCUGAAGCUCAGCUUCCCCUCAGAAGAAGUGCCGCCAGAUGAAGGAGCCUUUUGAGAGGCAGCUGGCAUCGUGAUUGGACUGUGCUUUGGUCUGAUCCAAUCCAGCUUCAGCUCCAGAGACGGCAGGCGGGACGAGUCAACGGAGGCCGAGUGGAUGAAGGCAUGAAGCCGAGUACAAUCCAGAAAACAACAGAGGAGUGCAGCGGCCCAGGACCAGAAAAAACAGAGUAGCAUAGUA